AAAAUUAGGGGUUUAUUUCCCAAAAGCAGAGAGAAGAAUAGAUACAGAGGGAAAACAAAGAACAAGUAGUAAUCAAGAAUUAGAAAGAAGUAAGCACAAAGAAGAGAAGGCAGGCAAGUCCUUCACUCUCUCCUUCCCUCUCUCUUUUAAUGGUUUUUUUUUUUCGUAGUCUACUCUGUUCUCCCUUAUUUCUGUUGCUUUGAUUGUUGGUUUCCAGUUGAGGUUUGUGAGCUUCUUCUUAUUUCUUUUUAAUUUGGUAGCCUUAUUGUGAAUUAUAGUGAGCUCUAUUGAAAGUAAAAGGGAUUUUUGAUGUGGUCGAGUAACAAGCAUCACUUUGUCUCCACUUUCUUAUCCUGAUGAGUAAAUUGCUAGCUAUGUAUUGGCUCUUUUGAUAAACAUAGAAGGUAUAUAAUCUUUUCUACUUAUUGGCUUGCGAUUAUGUUUUAUGUGGCUAAAUGAUGGUAAUCAGCCACAAAUGAUGGAUUUAGUACAUGCAUGUUACAUAAUUGAUGGCCACUAGAGCUGAUCACUCUAGUAAAUGAAGGUUACAUGAUUGCGGGUAUAUUUUUAUCUUCAUUUGUUGGUUUAUUGGUGUGCUUGCCUACUCCUGCUUCCUACAAAAUUGAAAUAUUUCCUGUGUUUAUCUUAUCGGACUUGCUGGGCAUAUCAAUGCUCAUUUUUGUGAUGAUUUAUGAUUUUCAGAAAAACACCAGAACUAGAGCAAAAGUACAAGUGGGCUGGGUAGUCUAAUAUCUUCCUACUUUUGAUCAUACAAUUUGGAUGUGUGAAGUGAGCAGAUGACUUUUGAAUUUUGUACCAGGAGGUGUGAUACUUUGUACUAGUUUUAGGCUAGUAUUGUAUAAAGUUGGCUAGUUAAAAUCUUGAUUUUUGGUAGUUGCUGCUAUGUAUAGGCUGCAGACCUGGGAACCUCCCCUGAUUUGUAAAAUCUUGUAAUGAUCUAACUUGAAGGUUUUUAGCUGUUUAUCUUUUUUGUGUUUGUUAUGGUUGGAAUCAGGCUGUUACAUCAUCUAUCUAAAAUGAUCCCAUUGUCAAUUAACGACGAAACAAAAACGUUAUAUAGGAUCACAAAG
rnacentral:lncRNA from 1 species